rnacentral:rRNA from 1 species
GACGAACGCUGGCGGCGUGCUUAACACAUGCAAGUCGAACGGAAAGGCCCUGCUUUUGUGGGGUGCUCGAGUGGCGAACGGGUGAGUAACACGUGAGUAACCUGCCCUUGACUUUGGGAUAACUUCAGGAAACUGGGGCUAAUACCGGAUAGGAGCUCCUGCUGCAUGGUGGGGGUUGGAAAGUUUCGGCGGUUGGGGAUGGACUCGCGGCUUAUCAGCUUGUUGGUGGGGUAGUGGCUUACCAAGGCUUUGACGGGUAGCCGGCCUGAGAGGGUGACCGGCCACAUUGGGCUUGAGAUACGGCCCAGACUCCUACGGGACGCAGCAGUGGGGAAUAUUGCACAAUGGGCGGAAGCCUGAUGCAGCAACGCCGCGUGCGGGAUGACGGCCUUCGGGUUGUAAACCGCUUUCGCCUGUGACGAAGCGUGAGUGACGGUAAUGGGUAAAGAAGCACCGGCUAACUACGUG